CUAAUAAUGCAGUCGAGCGAACAGAAGGGAGCUUGCUCCCGGAUGUUAGCGGCGGACGGGUGAGUAACACGUGGGUAACCUGCCUGUAAGACUGGGAUAACUCCGGGAAACCGGAGCUAAUACCGGAUAGUUCCUUGAACCGCAUGGUUCAAGGAUGAAAGACGGUUUCGGCUGUCACUUACAGAUGGACCCGCGGCGCAUUAGCUAGUUGGUGGGGUAAUGGCUCACCAAGGCGACGAUGCGUAGCCGACCUGAGAGGGUGAUCGGCCACACUGGGACUGAGACACGGCCCAGACUCCUACGGGAGGCAGCAGUAGGGAAUCUUCCGCAAUGGACGAAAGUCUGACGGAGCAACGCCGCGUGAGUGAUGAAGGUUUUCGGAUCGUAAAGCUCUGUUGUUAGGGAAGAACAAGUGCGAGAGUAACUGCUCGCACCUUGACGGUACCUAACCAGAAAGCCACGGCUAACUACGUGCCAGCAGCCGCGGUAAUACGUAGGUGGCAAGCGUUGUCCGGAAUUAUUGGGCGUAAAGGGCUCGCAGGCGGUUUCUUAAGUCUGAUGUGAAAGCCCCCGGCUCAACCGGGGAGGGUCAUUGGAAACUGGGAAACUUGAGUGCAGAAGAGGAGAGUGGAAUUCCACGUGUAGCGGUGAAAUGCGUAGAGAUGUGGAGGAACACCAGUGGCGAAGGCGACUCUCUGGUCUGUAACUGACGCUGAGGAGCGAAAGCGUGCGGAGCGAACAGGAUUAGAUACCCUGGUAGUCCACGCCGUAAACGAUGAGUGCUAAGUGUUA
rnacentral:rRNA from 1 species